CUCAGUGAGUUCAUACAUGUGUUGGUCCUGUU
rnacentral:piRNA from 1 species